GACGAACGCUGGAGGCGUGCUUAACACAUGCAAGUCGAACGAUGAAAUGGAGCUUGCUCCAUGGAUUAGUGGCGAACGGGUGAGUAACACGUGAAUAACCUGCCCUUAAUUUUGGAAUAACCCAGGGAAACCUGGGCUAAUACCGGAUAAGUAAACCUGUGGCAUCACAUGGUUUUGGAAAGUUUUUCGAUUAAGGAUGGAUUCGCGGCCUAUCAGCUUGUUGGUGAGGUAAUGGCUCACCAAGGCGACGACGGGUAGCCGGCCUGAGAGGGGGGAGGGACAGACGGGGAUCGAGGACCGGCCCAGCCUCCCACGGGAGGGAGAGGUGGGGAAUAUUGGGAAAGGGAAGAAAGUCGGCCGGAGGGGCGCCCCGGGGGGGAAGGAGGUUUGCGGAUUUUAAACCUCUUUAGUGGGGAAGAAGGGAAAGGGACGGUACCUGAAGAAAAAGCCCCGGCUAACUACGUGCCAGCCCCCGCAGAAA
rnacentral:rRNA from 1 species